ensembl:lncRNA
UUAAACAUCUGCUGUUUCUGACCCUGGUACACUGCUCUUGGGUAUCCUCCUGACAUUGCGGCUACAUAUAGACCAGUGGCAGCUACCUCUGUUCCUGUAUUGAAGCUAAUAUUACAGUGUGCAGAGGUAGUGUUUGAAGCACUGAGGAGGGACAUGCAGUCUGACCGGGCACAUGGCAACCAAAAGGAAAGAGAAGAACAUUUCAUUGGUUUGGGGCAAACUGAGAAGAUUAAGGUGGAGAUGGCAUCUGGAUAACAGACGGAGAUGCAGAGGUCCUGGAGCAGGUGCUGGCGAUACGAGUGUGAGGGGACAACGGAGUGAAACAGGCUGCUCCAGACAGCUGAACCAUGACCCAUCCAGUAGCUGUUGAAUCUGCUGCAGAGCCUACAGCCCAAGUGGAGCCAUACAGUGCCCAAACCAGCUUCCGAAUGAUGGAUGUGCAAGAUCAACUACUACCCAUCGCCGACCUUGACUUUAAUCAAGAGUAGGACCAAGUCGUCUUGAGUAUUCUUAGAAGCUAUG